UUGAAAGGGAAACGAUUGAAGUCAGUCGUACCGGCGGGUAAUCAGCCUUUCGGGUAUGAUUCUGUGGAGCGUGAGGAGUUAAACGCCUUCAUGCCUGCAUAUUCGUGCUCUUGGGUGUACUUGCUCGUGUGGUUGGUUAACAUCAAUUGCGGUUAUCAUAAAAUGGCUGGAGGAAUGUAGCUUCGAUCUCGUAUUGAAGUGUUAUAGUCUUCGGCAGAUGUGAUGAUCGGGAUUGAGGAUUGCAACGGAUACCCUUCGGGGCUACCUGUCUGGUCUCUGAUCGUUGCUUUGGCGCCGAAAGCGUGCUUACGGUUAUCAAAGUCGAUGGUCAAUAGGUUAGAACGGGUUAAAUUCGUUAAGGAUGUUGACGUA
rnacentral:rRNA from 1 species